AUGUGCGAGCACUCCGGGAGCAGCCAAGGAGAGAUGGGGCACCCUUUGCUGCCAGAGCCGGGCGCGGGCAGCCCCGGGGGCAUUCGGCAUCCCCAGGGACGGGGGGGUCCCCGCGCCAGGCACCCCAGGCUGCCCCGCAGGUCCCCGCACCCCGCACGGCGCUGCCGACGUGGAGGACGGGACCGCAAAUUUCCUGCGGGACCGGGGCCAGCGAGCAGCGGCCGCGACCCGCCCGGCUCCGAGCUGCGGCCCCCGGGGCCGGAUCCCGGCGGCGCUGAGCACCCCUCGCCCAAACGAGGGGCCGGGGGCGUCCCUGCAGCACCGCCGGGCUGGGGCCGGGAGCCGCGAGCUGGGUGCGGGACACGCGGGCGGCAGCAGGGGCUCGGGAGCCCCCCCGGGCACCCCCCGCCCCGGGCACCCCGGGGGGCGCAGAGCCCGGCUGGGGGCGCGCAGAGCCGGGGGGACCCCGAGCCCCCCGCUGCCGGGGGGAGCCCCCAGCCCGCUCCCGGGGGGUGCCGCGGCCCCGGCGAGAGCAGCGGGCGGCGGGGGGCGAGGAGGGCCCGGGGGCGGGGACGGGGCCGGGAAGGGGCCGGGGGGGCGGCGAGGGGCGGGGGCGGGCGGGGGCGGCCGCUGUGCUCGGCUCGGCUCGGCUCCGCCGCCCGUCCCGUCCCGUCCCGUCCCGUCCCGUCCCGUCGCGGCGAUGCCGGGGCUGCGGCUCCCGGUGCUGCUCCUGCUGCCGCUGCUGGCCGCCGCCCCCCCCGCGCCCCCCACCCAGACGGCGCCCCCCGACGGCGCGCUGAGGCCCGGGGCCGCGGGGGUGGGGGGCUCCCGGGGCUCCACGGCGGCGCCCCCCAGAGGCGCCGGGACGGGGGGGCCAACGAGCAGCAGCGCCGCGACCCCCCCGAGGGGCACCACGACGGGGGGGGCGCCGAAAAGCCCGGCCGCGACCCCCCCGAGGGGCACGGAGCGGGGGGGCCCGGGCAGCGCCACCCCCGCCAGCCCCCAGCCCCCCGAGCGCGGGACGCUGAAGGGGGGGGCCGGGGCCAAAGCCCCCAUGCCCAGGAGGAAGGUCGUGCGGGUCAAGGUGGUGAAGAAAAAGGUGCUGAAGAAGAAGCCGAAGGCUCCAGCCAAGCACCCG
rnacentral:lncRNA from 1 species